UUAGAAACCAUAAUAUUUUGAAAGAUAUGUAGGAUUCUACAACUGCUAAAACUAAUGCCGUUGCUGCAUUGCUACCUCCAGAUAAUUUCUAUUACCAUCAAUAAAUAAUAAACGAAGCCAUACUGAGGUAAGUAAAUUUUCUCUAGUUGACAUGUGUUUGUCUUGUUCACAAUGUAACAUCAUGCUUUGAAGGCUUUAACUUUCUAUUUGUCUUUCCUGGUUCUAACAUUAAAAACCUUGUAAACAGUAUUGUGGUUGUUUCUCUUCUGACAGUUUUGGUAAGGUGAUCUUGUUAAGUCUAGUGCGUGACUAUUGUAAAUAUCCUAGGGAUGGUACAAGGAAGGGUAGUUUUGCCAGCUCAGUAACAGACCUUAUGUCAAUUAGUUGAGAUAUAUUGUGGGUUGAUGUAAGAUUUUGGUUUGGGCAUUGGUUGAGAGUUAUAGACUCUCUCGUUGAUCAAGUCUCUUCUAACGUGUAGUUCUUUAGAGUUUAGCAGAAAUGAAUCCUAUCACAGUUCCUUUAACUAACUCCACACUUAUGAUUUAGAUUUGUACGUUUGAGUUCAUUUAGUCAUUUUAGUAUAUUAGUUCACCACUUUAGUGUCAACUAGUAUAUAUAUAUAUUUGUCAUCAAUAUCAGCAUAUAUAACUCCUGUCAGAACCAUCAUUUACUGAUAGUCUCAAAUGUGAAAAGACUUGUCUUCCUUUGUCAAUCAUAAAAGAAUACUAAAAUAUGCAACAAUCAUCCUAAACAGUUUGAGUUAUUGAACAUUGAUAUUAUCAACUCAGAAAGAAUCUGUACGACUGUUUAUAGAGUCUUCGAGCAUUUGACUAUUUGCAGCUGAAAGCUUAAGAAGGGAGAACUGAGUUCUUUUAGCAUGUGUAUUUUUUUCAGGGGCUGCUACUACCAUUAUUGGGGUGAUUGAUGAUCCUCUGGAGAAUCACAGUCCUUAGCCCUUGUAAUAUCUCUGCUGCACAAAUCCACAAGAAUCCCCAGUUCCUCUAUAUUCUUCUUAAAAACCUCAAGAAUCCUCUUAAUGGCAUUGAUCCCCAUCUUGACUGCAGCAUGCUCCACCGCAUAGUCGUCAUUCUUAUUUAUAAUCCUGAGGUCAGUAUUCAACUCUUGGAUCAAAGACCGGAUAUCAUACAAAUCCUUCACUGCACCUGUCUUACACGUUUGCGGACCAAACAUAGCCGCAGUGAUACCCAGUGUCACUUAGGUAGUAGCAAGAGCCGCAGCCACAGGAGGAGCAGACAUAGCCGCAGCGACAACAGAGCAGAUGAGCACAGUGGCGUAGGUAAGCCACAAAGAUGAUGCUGGAAAGUUUUCGCAAUGUGUGGAUGCGCUUGUACUUACAUAGCUGAAGCUUCUCAAGCAUCUGAUCUAUCAUCGAGAGAGCCUGUGAAGAGAAUCGCCACUUGUUCCCAAAUCAAACAGAGGAUUGGUUCGUUAGCAGCGAUAGGCGGGAGCCCUAAGCUAGUGAAUCAAAACAAUUAGAAAGAGGACACCAAGGCUAAUCAAUCAAUCAAAGGGUGCUACCUCCAUCAUGGCAACCAGAUUUGCUAAUUUCAUCUGCCUAAUUUCAACCAGAUUUGCUUAUAACUACAAAUUGUACUACAAAUCAUGUUUGCUAAUUUAAUCUGGUUACAAUUGUACUACAAAUCAUGUUUGCUAA
rnacentral:lncRNA from 1 species